UACGGAGGGUGCAAGCGUUAUCCGGAUUCACUGGGUUUAAAGGGUGCGUAGGUGGGUUUGGUAAGUCCGUGGUGAAAUCUCCGAGCUUAACUCGGAAACUGCCGUGGAUACUAUCAAUCUUGAAUACUGUGGAGGUAAGCGGAAUAUGUCAUGUAGCGGUGAAAUGCUUAGAUAUGACAUAGAACACCGAUAGCGGAGGCAGCUUGCUACACAGUCAUUGACACUGAGGCACGAAAGCGUGGGGAUCAAACAGG
rnacentral:rRNA from 1 species